ensembl:lncRNA
CUGUGGUUCAUUCCUCCUGCGCAUCCCCAGCAGGGUGGGUGGGAGCCAGCAGCUUUGCUGACACUUCAAGUUUCCAUGCCGAAACCACAGCAUUAGUAUAAGCGCUCCGCAACUUCAGAGGAGGCAAACUUCAGAAUGGCCGCCAGCCUCCAUCUGCAGCUCCUAAUUGAGCCUUGCCCGCAGAGAUCAACACCAGCAGCUGCCUCUUCUUGGUUACUUCCCGGAGAUUCCAAGCUCAGCCUACAACUGUAGGGCAACACGUAUGCUUUCCAGGGAGGUGAGCUGCUAUACGAUGGUCGUCCCAUUGUCAAGCCACGUUCAGCCAUGGACUAUGAGCAAGAGGCCCGGGAAGCCUUGAGUGAAGAGGAGGCAGAAAACUUGGAUCACUGAGACUCUUUCCGUGAUGGUGUGACCUAAAUCUUCAUUUACAAGGGACCAUGACCCUCAGACACCGAGCCCUCAUUGGGUUGAGGAAACAGCAGACUGGGGAAGUGGCUCAACACUACAGCAUUUGCCUAGCACUGUGCACAAGGCCUUGGGUUCAAUCCUCAAUACUGCAAAAACAAAAAAACCCACCAGGACCUGUGGAACACUAGGAAAGCAGUAUUUCGUGAGAAAUGUACAGCUAUAGCAGUGUUUACAUUAGAAGAGUAGAAAGCUUCAAAGACCUCAGCCUUUCCCUUAAGGAAGUUACAAAAUGCUGGGUGUGGUGGUGUAAGCCUAUAAUCCAUGGGAUAAGAGUGUCCCAGCGAAACCUCUCCUUGCGCUUCGUGGGGAGAAACAGAACAGGGUUGGAGGGACAUAGAUUCUGAGGCGGCCCCAGACCUCUCUGCAGGUGAAAGUGCCAGUUUUGCAGGGAGCAUUUUCUGAGCUCCAACAUAGCCAAAUCCAGAGUAACCAAGAAAAGGGAGAAUAAAGAGAAAAGGGUAAGUUAAAGAAACAGGAAACAGGAAAACAAGUGCAGAGCUGGUUCUUCCCGAAGAUCAAUGAAGCUGUUAAACCUCUA